rnacentral:ncRNA from 1 species
UCUUAUCCAGAGUGGUUGAGGGUUCGGGCCCAAUGACGCCACAGCAACCGGUUCUUCCUUUGGAAGAAUGCUGGUGCUAACUCCUGCCCGACAUUAG